rnacentral:ncRNA from 1 species
UGAAAGUUGCACGUACGGUUCUUUAAGGGGGAAAGUCCGAGAGGACCUACCUAUCUUGACUGUUUAAUUCGAUAAUACACGAAAAACCUUACCACAAUUUGUAUAAUAAUAUUACAGGAGUUGCACGGCUGUUUUCAGUUAAUGUUGUGAAACUAUGGUUUCCAUGUAAUUAACGAAAUCCCUGGCUUUAUUUUUGGAUGCGCUAGUCCCUCCGGGACCAGCAAGCUCUUAAUUUUUACUUAUUUUAGUUAUGAGGCGCAUGAAAGCGCUCUCAGAAUAAAAAAAGAGCUUGCGCCCUAAAAAAGAUUUUUAGGGCUCGCUACUACGAUAAGGCAUUAGAUCCUGGAUAUUUGGAUAGAAAAAGGGGACAAAGACAAGUCAUCAUGGCCUUUAUAUUGUGGGCUAUAAACGUGCUACAUCUUCCUAGACAAAGAGAUGCAAAAAUGUGAAUUUAAGCUAAUCUCAAAAAAUAGGAUAAAAAUUUUAAGGAUUGUAGUCUGAAAUUCGACUACAUGAAUAAGUAAUUACUAGUAAUCGUGAAUCACCAUGUCACGGUGAAUUACUCUCGGAUUGGUACUAACCACUCGUCACAUGCUGAAAAGAGCUUAUGCAAUAAGUUUGCUUUUCCCGCCCUCUCUCCCUUACUAACUAAGCCGACGAGAGGAUUAGUCUAUUAUUGGGAAUCUUCGUAUGCGCGGUUCUAAUUAGUGUUAAGUCGAAAUACGGUUCGUGUAGUGGAAGUUGCACGGG